GACGAACGCUGGCGGCGUGCUUAACACAUGCAAGUCGAACGCUGAAGACCUGGCUUUUGUUGGGUUGGAUGAGUGGCGAACGGGUGAGUAACACGUGAGUAACCUGCCCUCUUCUUUGGGAUAACGCCCGGAAACGGGUGCUAAUACUGGAUAUUCACUGAUCUUCGCAUGGGGGUUGGUGGAAAGGUUUGUUCUGGGGGGGGAUGGGCUCGCGGCCUAUCAGCUUGUUGGUGGGGUGAUGGCCUACCAAGGCUUUGACGGGUAGCCGGCCUGAGAGGGGGACCGGUCAAAUUGGGACUGAGAUACGGCCCAAACUCCUACGGGAGGCAGCAGUGGGGAAUAUUGCACAAUGGGCGAAAGCCUGAGGCAGCGACGCCGCGUGAGGGAUGGAGGCCUUCGGGUUGUAAACCUCUUUCGCUCAUGGUCAAGCCGCAACUGUGGGUUGUGGUGAGGGUAGUGGGUAAAGAAGCGCCGGCUAACUACGUG
rnacentral:rRNA from 1 species